GACAGAGGGUGCAAACGUUGUUCGGAAUUACUGGGCGUAAAGCGAGUGUAGGCGGCUCGGCAAGUCGGAUGUGAAAGCCCCGGGCUCAACCCGGGAAGUGCACUCGAUACUGCCAAGCUUGAGUGUCGGAGAGGUUAGUGGAAUUCUCGGUGUAGAGGUGAAAUGCGUAGAUAUCGGGAGGAACACCGGUGGCGAAGGCGGCUAACUGGACGAUCACUGACGCUGAGGCGCGAAAGCGUGGGGAGCAAACAGG
rnacentral:rRNA from 1 species